rnacentral:rRNA from 1 species
UGCAGCUCAAGUGGUGGCCGCUAUUAUUGGGCCUAAAACGUCCGUAGCCGGUUCUAUAAAUGCCUGGGUAAAUCGUACGGCUUAACCGUACGAAUUCCGGGUAGACUGUUCAACUUGGGACCGGGAGAGGCUAGAGGUACUCCUGGGGUAGAGGUGAAAUUCUGUAAUCCUAGGGGGACCACCAGUGGCGAAGGCGUCUAGCUAGAACGGGUCUGACGGUGAGGGACGAAGCCCUGGGGAGCAAACGG